UGAGGAAUAUUGGGCAAUGCCCGCAAGGGUGACCCAGCAACGCCGCGUGGAGGAUGAAUGUCGUAAGAUUGUAAACUCCUGUUAGAGGGGAAGAAUAGUACCGGUUGGACCGGUAUAUGACUGUACCCUCAGAGAAAGCCCCGGCUAACUACGUGCCAGCAGCCGCGGUAAUACGUAGGGGGCAAGCGUUGUCCGGAUUUACUGGGUGUAAAGGGCGCGCAGGCGGGAUAAAAAGUCAGUGGUGAAAUCCUACAGCUUAACUGUAGAACUGCCUUUGAUACUUUUAUUCUUGAGUUCGGGAGAGAGAGACGGAAUUCCAGGUGUAGUGGUGAAAUACGUAGAUAUCUGGAAGAACACUAGUUGCGAAGGCGGUCUCUUGGUCCGACACUGACGCUGAGGCGCGAAAGCGUGGGGAGCAAACA
rnacentral:rRNA from 1 species